GAUUUCACAAGAUAUAACUGUAAUAUUUCACAGUUAAUUACAUUAUUACCACUUCACAGGCUUUAACUGUGAUAAUUCACAAUAUUGUGGCGAGUGGGGCGGGGCCGAGAGGCGUGGGAGCGAGGAGUGAGGCCAGGUGUAGUGAUUGGAGAUGAGCUACACCUGAGCCCCACCGCUAGUAUCGAGUCCCACGUAGGAGAUGGAAGGAUAUAAAACUGGAGUGACGACCGUGAAGGAGGAGAGAGGACCAGGCCUGGGACAUUAUUUUAGGUUUGCUUUUUAUUUAUGCGCACCAGUCGUCCGUGAGGGGCUGGUGCGCCGUUUUGUAUUUACUUUUGAAUAUUAAAAUGUUUUUGAUUGUGCGCCGGUUCCGCCUCCUUCUUCCCGAUGAAUAUGGAGAUUUGUUUAUUACAAAUAUAAUACCGUAUUUAGACUUUUACUGUGAAAAUAAUGCAGGCGCGGGGCUUUUACAAGAAACUACUGUGAAUGCCGUCUUUUUUGAGUGGCAACUGCGGCAGCGUCAUCAGAGCGUCAUCAGAGCUCUCUGAUCUACGUGGUCUCAUUCGGUGGAUUCAGACAGCGCAUUUUCUACAUUGACCGACGAUAAAUAAAGUUAUAAGGUGCUUCUUGGGCAUCAACCCAGAGACGGGCACAAAAUCUAAGAGGCAGAGAGGUCACAUGAACCAGCAAGUCUGCACUCUUAUCAGGAAGCUCAUUGACUUCGAAUGGAUGUCAAUCUAAUUGGAUAGAACCCACACUAUGCAGGUGCCAGCUGCGAGGGAAGGAGAGAGACACCUGCGACCCCCUCUAUUCCCACCUUUUUGUCUUUUCUUACAUCUCUCUCUCUCCCUCACUCUCUUUUCUUUCUCCUUCUUUCUCUUUUGACACACAUUCCUGUUACCCAGUGUCAAUCCCUGUUGCCCAGUGUUUUAUUCAUGUAAUUAAAUUGUAUUUUACUUCUAAAAAAUAAAAGUUAUGUCACUGUUUUUAUCA